rnacentral:lncRNA from 1 species
GACAACGGUAGGCUUGAUAAUACAUGGGCCUGAUUUGUUAUGAUUUUUUUUAUCUUUUUAUUCGAAUAAAAAAACUGCCCUAAUCAUUCUAUAGAAAAUAAAAGGAAAGAAAAAUCAACGAAAUCAUACUCCCAAAAGGUGCAAGUCAAACCAAUACUUACAAGUUAGGCCUGGUAACAUCUAGACUUACAAGUUAGGGCUUCAGCCCACUCCGAGGAAAGAAUUUCUACAUUGAAUGACAACCUUCUCAGUUGUAAAAUGCAUGCCUUGUGCCGGAACCCUAACUCCACCCACCAAUGACACUCGGAAAUAGGGAGGCCAUGGCAUCUUAAUCAUUCAUCCUGGUCAUCUCGCGGCCAUGCCUCCUUGUUUGAGAGCACUUUGAGCUCCCACGGUGAUCAAAAUCAGAUGGUACUCCCAGCUUCAACCCAACCCAUCCAGACUUCACAAUCGCAUUCAAGCUCACUCUUGAGAGUAGAACGGAGUGCAAAGCAUUAGGGAAGAAACUCAGAUUUCGUCCAAAAACUGUCCCCGUGUCCCGGUCUAAACUUCUGUUUUUUUUUUUUUUUUUUUUUGUGGACAUGAGAACUAUCUGUACUUCUUAAAUCUUUUGUCAUAACACAUUUAGGACGGCAAAAGUGAGAAUUCCAAGAGCCUAUCGGGUACAUAAGGUGCUUUAACGCCGAAGAUCCAAAUGAUGAUAACAGGCAACAAGUUUCUGGAGUUCUCAAAAGACAAAGGAAGAAAUUCCAUGAAAAUAAUGCUGAAAGUCUGGAGUGGAAAGGCAACGAAAACUUGGGAGAUGUGACAGAUGUGAAAAAAUUGCACAUUGAGAACCAUAUCAAAUCUAUUCAGGAUCGAAAUAUGAACACAACAGAGAAAAGUAACUAGAUCUUUGAAACCUGUGGUAGAACAUAAUAACUUUCAGCUACCUCGUGUUUUCAGCGAAAAAUGCUGUCACUCUGUUUAGUCCAUACUUUUUUUAUUCAUAUAUUUGUACCAAAAAAAGUUACCCUGAAUACCAUUAAUUUACCCUUUCAAGCACAAAUUCUCUGUCAUUCAUAGAACACAAUAUAUUGUCAUUAGCAAAAUGUAACAGAAUGAUGAAAAUGAUGAGUAAGAAAAUGCAAACAAACCAAAUAGAGGGGCAUGAUUUCCAUGCAUGCAGGCACACCAAAAAACAAAAAACAAAAUAGUGCACCUUAUAUUUCCUAUUAUAAAUUGUCAAAGGUAAUAGGUAAAAUGCUUGACUCGCAAAAUUUAACUCAGCUGAACUUAAUCAAAAUCUAACAGGCUAACUCCAUGAUUUUUAGACAGGGCCAAUGCAAUUCUAUGUACUUGUGUACUAAGAUNNNN